rnacentral:rRNA from 1 species
AGAGUUUGAUCAUGGCUCAGAUUGAACGCUGGCGGCAUGCUUUACACAUGCAAGUCGAACGGCAGCACAGGGAGCUUGCNCCCGGGUGGCGAGUGGCGGCACGGGUGAGUAAUACAUCGGAACGUGUCCUGUUGUGGGGGAUAACUGCUCGAAAGGGUGGCUAAUACCGCAUGAGACCUGAGGGUGAAAGCGGGGGAUCGCAAGACCUCGCGCAAUUGGAGCGGCCGAUGCCCGAUUAGCUAGUUGGUGAGGUAAAGGCUCACCAAGGCGACGAUCGGUAGCUGGUCUGAGAGGACGACCAGCCACACUGGGACUGAGACACGGCCCAGACUCCUACGGGAGGCAGCA